rnacentral:rRNA from 1 species
UACGGAGGGUGCAAGCGUUGUCCGGAUUUAUUGGGUUUAAAGGGUGCGUAGGUGGUUUGAUAAGUCUGGUUUGAAAGCAAGCGGCUUAACCGUUUGAUGUGGCUGGAAACUGUUGAACUUGAAUGCGUUGGCGGUAGCCGGAACGGGUCGAUGUAGCGGUGAAAUGCAUAGAUAUGACCCAGAACACCGAUUGCGAAGGCAGGCUACUACGACGUGAUUGACACUGAGGCACGAGAGCAUGGGUAGCGAACAGG